UCGUAACAAAAUGUGCUAGGGCAUGCUCCGGCUGUCGCAGACUUGAAAAGGUCGUGCACGCGGGAGCGUGUCCUCUCACAUAACACAAUCCAACUCACCCCUUUGUGCACCACCGCGUGGGCCCCCUUUGGGGGGCUCGCGUUUUCACACAAAACCCCCUUUUAAAAGUGUAGAAUGACCUCUUUUUAUGAAAUCAAUA
rnacentral:misc_RNA from 1 species